AACUAGCAGGCUGCUUGCUCCAUCAUGCUGAACAUCCUCAGAGAGGCCUUAUGGAACUCUGUCCUUGCAGUAUCCUGUUGGGGGAUGGAGAGGAAACAUUUCUUAUGCUUCUCUCCCAUUUCUGAUCCCCCAGUGGCCAAAGUUCACCUCCUGGGGGGCGUUAACUCUCAUGCAUUUUUAGUUCAAGUCACAGGACCUGCAAUUGGCAAUUUCUCAGAGUCUGAGUCUGGAAGUGAUGGGAGGUGCCAGGAAUCACCAGUGGCAGCCUUAGUGGCAAACGCUGGUGGCCCUGGUGGUUGCAGGGGAGAUCACCGUAGCCUGGAGUAGGCACAUCUGCAAGGUGCCAGGGUGUUUACACACACUGGAAUGUCAGUGAAGGCAUUCUCAUGGUGAUCCUUAAUGAACCCGACUAGUAUCCAUGAGGACUCAGGUUUGAUCCCUGGCCUCACUCAGUGGAUUAAGGUUCUGGCGUUGCUGUGAGCUGUGGGGUAGAUUGCAGAGGUGACUUGGAUCCCUCUUUGCUGUGGCUGUGGUAUAGGCUGGCAGUUGCAGCUCCAAUUAGACCCCUAGCCUGGGAACUUCCAUAUGCCUCAGGUGUGGCCCUAAAAAGACAAAAAAGAAAAAAGAGAGAGAUGUAAAUGAAGAUAAAUCCUACUGGUGUAGGGCUGCCCGCAAUCCAAUAUGUCCAAUUGUCUUUUAAGAGGAGACGCAGAGACAGUUACAUACACGGAGAAGAAUGCUGUGUGGUGACAGGGCAGAGAUUUGAGGGUGCAUCUGUGAGCGAAGGAUUGCUGACAAAACUAGAAGCUGAGGAAAAGGCAUGGAGCAGCUUCUCCCUGGAACCUCUUGAGAGAGCACGGCUCUGAAGAUGAUCUUGGGCUUCUACCCUCCAGAGGAAUAAUGUGAGGGAAAAAAUUCUUUUAAGCCACCUGGUUUGUGCUGUUUUCUUAUGGCAGCUCCAGAGGGACGGACAAGCCGACCAGAAGCACAAGAUGCAGAUAACUGCUGCUGAGACCUGUAGAGUGAGCCAGGGUGAUGACAAGGCAGUGAUGCUGAUGAUGGAGAGAGCUAACGGCUGCUGGGAACAUUCUACAUGAUGAGUGAGGUUCUUUUUUUUGAUUUUUAAAAAUUAUUUUAUUGGAAUAUAGUUAAUUUACAAUGUUAGGUUGAUUUCUGCUAUAUAGCAAAAUGGUUCGAUCUCUCUCUCUCUCUCUCUCUCACACACACACGCACACACACACAUCCUUUUUCCUAUUCUUUCCCAUUGUGGUUUAUCAUAGGAUAUUGAGUAUAGUUCCCUGUGCUGUACAGAAGGAUGGAGGUUGUUGUUUGUCCAUCCUAUAUAUAAUAGUUUGCAUCUGCUAAUCCCCAACUCCAAAUUCAUCAUCCCUCCCCACACCUCCUCCCCCUUGGCAACCCACAGUCUGUGAGUCUGUGUCUUUUUUUUUUUUAAUUGUUAUUUGUAAAUAAGUUCAUUUGUGUCAUAUUUCAGAUUCCAUAUAUAAGGGAUAUCAUAUGGUAUUUGUCUUUCUCUUUCUGACUUACUUCACUCAGUACGAUAAUCUUUAGUUGCAUCCAUGUUGCUGCAAAUGGCAUAAUUUCAUUCUUUUUUAUGGCUGAGUAAUAUUCCAUUGUAUACAUGUACCACAUCUUAACCCAUCCCUCUGUCCAUGGACAUUUAGGUUGUUUCCAUGUCUUGGCUAUUGCGAAUAAGAGGUGGACACUGUUCUGAGUGCUCUACAUGUAUUUAUUCAUUUGAUCCUCACUGGACCUGGUAAUGAGCAGCUUUUAUAAUCUCCAUUUUCUGAAUAAGGAUAGCAGGUAGAGGGUCUAAAUAAUGUGAUUAAUGUCACAGGCAGUAGAACUGAGACCUUGGCCACAGAGCCUGUGGUCUUUGCUUCCACGCUGGGUUCAUUCAUCUAAGGUUGUAAAAUGCCCCCUCAGUGCUAGACAUUAGAUGCUAGGUACAGAGAUGAACAUGCUUUGGUCUCUCUAACCCCAAAACUCUCACUGUCUUUCUGAUCCAAUCUAGCUGAUGACCCCGCCCACACACUGGAGAGCUGUGCUGUCCAAGUAUGACAGCCACUACCAUAUUUCAGCCACUGAGCUCCUGAAAUGUGGUCAGUUUGAACUCGCACAUGCUGUGUGUGUAAAAUACACACUGGGUUUAGAAGACCUAGUACAACAAGGAUGUAAAAUACCUCAUCAAUAUUUAUUUUACUUUAUUAAAAAUUUUUAUUGGAGUGUAGUUGACUUACCCAGCUGUAAGUGUUGUGUUAGUUUCAGGUGUACAGCCAAGUGGAUCAGUUAUAAAUAUAUUCAUUCUUUUUCCCAUAGAGGUUUUUACUAACUAUUGAGUAGAGAGUUCUCUGAUGGCCUAGUAGGUUAAGGCUCCCACAUCUUCACCACUGUGGCUCUGAUGACUGCUGUGUGGUGUAGGUUCGAUCCCUGGCACAGGAACUUCCCCAUGCUGUGGGUA
rnacentral:lncRNA from 1 species